rnacentral:rRNA from 1 species
GCCUGACAAUUGCAGUGUCGGUGAUCGGGCUCGGCCGAUCCUCCCACCCUUUGUGUACCUACCUCUGUUGCUUUGGCGGGCCGCGGUCCCCCGCGGCCGCCCCCCCUCCCCGGGGGGUGGCUAGUGCCCGCCAGAGGACCAUCAAACUCCAGUCAGUGAACGUCGCAGUCUGAAAAAACAUUCAAUAAACUAAAACUUUCAACAACGGAUCUCUUGGUUCUGGCAUCGAUGAAGAACGCAGCGAAAUGCGAUAAGUAAUGUGAAUUGCAGAAUUCAGUGAAUCAUCGAAUCUUUGAACGCACAUUGCGCCCCUUGGUAUUCCGAGGGGCAUGCCUGUUCGAGCGUCAUUACAACCCUCAAGCUCUGCUUGGUAUUGGGCACCGCCCUUCUUCGGGCGCGCCUCAAAGACCUCGGCGGUGGCUGUCUUGCCUCAAGCGUAGUAGAAUACACCUCGCUUCGGAGCGCAGGGCGUCGCCCGCCGGACGAACCUUCUGAACUUUUCUCAAGGUUGACCUCGGAUCAGGUAGGGAUACCCGCUGAACUUAAGCAUAUCAUAACCCGGAGGAAAAUU